rnacentral:rRNA from 1 species
AGUGAACGCUGGCGGUAGGCCUAACACAUGCAAGUCGAACGGCAGCACAGGAGAGCUUGCUCUCUGGGUGGCGAGUGGCGGACGGGUAAGAAAUACAUCGGAAUCUACUCUGUCGUGGGGGAUAACGUAGGGAAACUUACGCCAAUACCGCAUACGACCUACGGGUGAAAGCAGGGGACCUUCGGGCCUUGCGCGAUUGAAUGAGCCGAUGUCGGAUUAGCUAGUUGGCGGGGUAAAGGCCCACCAAGGCGACGAUCCGUAGCUGGUCUGAGAGGAUGGUCAGCCACACGGGAACUGAGACACGGUCCAGACGCCUACGGAAGGCAGCAGUGGGGAAUAUUGGACAGUGGGCGCAAGCCUGAUCCAGCCAUACCGCGUGGGUGAAGAAGGCCUUCGGGUUGUAAAGCCCUUUUGUUGGGAAAGAAAUCCAGCUGGCUAAUACCCGGUUGGGAUGACGGUACCCAAAGAAUAAGCACCGGCUAACUUCGUGCCAGCCGCCGCCGUAA